UUUAUGGAGAGUUUGAUCCUGGCUCAGGACGAACGCUGGCGGCGUGCUUAACACAUGCAAGUCGAG
rnacentral:rRNA from 1 species